rnacentral:rRNA from 1 species
AUUGAACGCUGGCGGAAUGCUUUAUACAUGCAAGUCGAACGGCAGCACGGACUUCGGUCUGGUGGCGAGUGGCGAACGGGUGAGUAAUACAUCGGAACGUGCCCAGUCGUGGGGGAUGACGUAGCGAAAGCUACGCUAAUACCGCAUACGAUCUACGGAUGAAAGCGGGGGAUCGCAAGACCUCGCGCGAUUGGAGCGGCCGAUGGCAGAUUAGGUAGUUGGUGGGGUAAAGGCUCACCAAGCCGACGAUCUGUAGCUGGUCUGAGAGGACGACCAGCCACACUGGGACUGAGACACGGCCCAGACUCCUACGGGAGGCAGCAGUGGGGAAUUUUGGACAAUGGGCGCAAGCCUGAUCCAGCCAUUCCGCGUGCAGGAUGAAGGCCUUCGGGUUGUAAACUGCUUUUGUACAGAACGAAAAGGCUCUGGUUAAUACCUGGGGCUCAUGACGGUACUGUAAGAAUAAGCACCGGCUAACUACGUGCCAGCAGCCGCCGUAAUAC